rnacentral:rRNA from 1 species
UCAAGUGAAGAAGCGCAUACGGUGGAUGCCUUGGCAGUCAGAGGCGAUGAAAGACGUGGUAGCCUGCGAAAAGCUUCGGGGAGUCGGCAAACAGACUUUGAUCCGGAGAUCUCUGAAUGGGGGAACCCACCUAGGAUAACCUAGGUAUCUUGUACUGAAUCCAUAGGUGCAAGAGGCGAACCAGGGGAACUGAAACAUCUAAGUACCCUGAGGAAAAGAAAUCAACCGAGAUUCCCUUAGUAGUGGCGAGCGAACGGGGAUUAGCCCUUAAGCUUCAUUGAUUUUAGCGGAACGCUCUGGAAAGUGCGGCCAUAGUGGGUGAUAGCCCCGUACGCGAAAGGAUCUUUGAAGUGAAAUCGAGUAGGACGGAGCACGAGAAACUUUGUCUGAACAUGGGGGGACCAUCCUCCAAGGCUAAAUACUACUGACUGACCGAUAGUGAACCAGUACCGUGAGGGAAAGGCGAAAAGAACCCCGGAGAGGGGAGUGAAAUAGAACCUGAAACCGUAUGCGUACAAGCAGUGGGAGCCUACUUGUUAGGUGACUGCGUACCUUUUGUAUAAUGGGUCAGCGACUUAUAUUCAGUGGCAAGCUUAACCGUAUAGGGUAGGCGUAGCGAAAGCGAGUCUUAAUAGGGCGUUUAGUCGCUGGGUAUAGACCCGAAACCGGGCGAUCUAUCCAUGAGCAGGUUGAAGGUUAGGUAACACUGACUGGAGGACCGAACCCACUCCCGUUGAAAAGGUAGGGGAUGACUUGUGGAUCGGAGUGAAAGGCUAAUCAAGCUCGGAGAUAGCUGGUUCUCCUCGAAAGCUAUUUAGGUAGCGCCUCAUGUAUCACUCUGGGGGGUAGAGCACUGUUUCGGCUAGGGGGUCAUCCCGACUUACCAAACCGAUGCAAACUCCGAAUACCCAGAAGUGCCGAGCAUGGGAGACACACGGCGGGUGCUAACGUCCGUCGUGAAAAGGGAAACAACCCAGACCGCCAGCUAAGGUCCCAAAGUUGUGGUUAAGUGGUAAACGAUGUGGGAAGGCUUAGACAGCUAGGAGGUUGGCUUAGAAGCAGCCAUCCUUUAAAGAAAGCGUAAUAGCUCACUAGUCGAGUCGGCCUGCGCGGAAGAUGUAACGGGGCUCAAACCACACACCGAAGCUGCGGGUGUCACGUAAGUGACGCGGUAGAGGAGCGUUCUGUAAGCCUGUGAAGGUGAGUUGAGAAGCUUGCUGGAGGUAUCAGAAGUGCGAAUGCUGACAUGAGUAACGACAAUGGGUGUGAAAAACCCCCACGCCGAAAGACCAAGGGUUCCUGCGCAACGUUAAUCGACGCAGGGUUAGUCGGUUCCUAAGGCGAGGCUGAAAAGCGUAGUCGAUGGGAAACAGGUUAAUAUUCCUGUACUUCUGGUUACUGCGAUGGAGGGACGGAGAAGGCUAGGCCAGCUUGGCGUUGGUUGUCCAAGUUUAAGGUGGUAGGCUGAAAUCUUAGGUAAAUCCGGGGUUUCAAGGCCGAGAGCUGAUGACGAGUCGUCUUUUAGAUGACGAAGUGGUUGAUGCCAUGCUUCCAAGAAAAGCUUCUAAGCUUCAGGUAACCAGGAACCGUACCCCAAACCGACACAGGUGGUCGGGUAGAGAAUACCAAGGCGCUUGAGAGAACUCGGGUGAAGGAACUAGGCAAAAUGGCACCGUAACUUCGGGAGAAGGUGCGCCGGCUAGGGUGAAGGAUUUACUCCGUAAGCUCUGGCUGGUCGAAGAUACCAGGCCGCUGCGACUGUUUAUUAAAAACACAGCACUCUGCAAACACGAAAGUGGACGUAUAGGGUGUGACGCCUGCUCGGUGCCGGAAGGUUAAUUGAUGGGGUUAGCGCAAGCGAAGCUCUUGAUCGAAGCCCCGGUAAACGGCGGCCGUAACUAUAACGGUCCUAAGGUAGCGAAAUUCCUUGUCGGGUAAGUUCCGACCUGCACGAAUGGCGUAACGAUGGCGGCGCUGUCUCCACCCGAGACUCAGUGAAAUUGAAAUCGCUGUGAAGAUGCAGUGUAUCCGCGGCUAGACGGAAAGACCCCGUGAACCUUUACUGUAGCUUUGCACUGGACUUUGAGCCUGCUUGUGUAGGAUAGGUGGGAGGCUUUGAAGCGUGGACGCCAGUUCGCGUGGAGCCAUCCUUGAAAUACCACCCUGGCAUGCUUGAGGUUCUAACUCUGGUCCGUGAUCCGGAUCGAGGACAGUGUAUGGUGGGCAGUUUGACUGGGGCGGUCUCCUCCUAAAGAGUAACGGAGGAGUACGAAGGUGCGCUCAGACCGGUCGGAAAUCGGUCGUAGAGUAUAAAGGCAAAAGCGCGCUUGACUGCGAGACAGACACGUCGAGCAGGUACGAAAGUAGGUCUUAGUGAUCCGGUGGUUCUGUAUGGAAGGGCCAUCGCUCAACGGAUAAAAGGUACUCCGGGGAUAACAGGCUGAUACCGCCCAAGAGUUCAUAUCGACGGCGGUGUUUGGCACCUCGAUGUCGGCUCAUCACAUCCUGGGGCUGAAGCCGGUCCCAAGGGUAUGGCUGUUCGCCAUUUAAAGUGGUACGCGAGCUGGGUUUAGAACGUCGUGAGACAGUUCGGUCCCUAUCUGCCGUGGACGUUUGAGAUUUGAGAGGGGCUGCUCCUAGUACGAGAGGACCGGAGUGGACGAACCUCUGGUGUUCCGGUUGUCACGCCAGUGGCAUUGCCGGGUAGCUAUGUUCGGAAAAGAUAACCGCUGAAAGCAUCUAAGCGGGAAACUUGCCUCAAGAUGAGAUCUCACUGGGAACUUGAUUCCCCUGAAGGGCCGUCGAAGACUACGACGUUGAUAGGCUGGGUGUGUAAGCGUUGUGAGGCGUUGAGCUAACCAGUACUAAUUGCCCGUGAGGCUUGACCAU